GCCAGGAUGUUGGCUUAGAAGCAGCCAUCAUUUAAAGAAAGCGUAAUAGCUCACUGGUCGAGUCGGCCUGCGCGGAAGAUGUAACGGGGCUAAACCAUGCACCGAAGCUGCGGCAGCGACACUAUGUGUUGUUGGGUAGGGGAGCGUUCUGUAAGCCUGUGAAGGUGGCCUGUGAGGGUUGCUGGAGGUAUCAGAAGUGCGAAUGCUGACAUAAGUAACGAUAAAGCGGGUGAAAAGCCCGCUCGCCGGAAGACCAAGGGUUCCUGUCCAACGUUAAUCGGGGCAGGGUGAGUCGACCCCUAAGGCGAGGCCGAAAGGCGUAGUCGAUGGGAAACAGGUUAAUAUUCCUGUACUUGGUGUUACUGCGAAGGGGGGACGGAGAAGGCUAUGUUGGCCGGGCGACGGUUGUCCCGGUUUAAGCGUGUAGGCUGGUUUUCCAGGCAAAUCCGGAAAACCAAGGCUGAGGCGUGAUGACGAGGCACUACGGUGCUGAAGCGACAAAUGCCCUGCUUCCAGGAAAAGCCUCUAAGCAUCAGGUAACAUCAAAUCGUACCCCAAACCGACACAGGUGGUCAGGUAGAGAAUACCAAGGCGCUUGAGAGAACUCGGGUGAAGGAACUAGGCAAAAUGGUGCCGUAACUUCGGGAGAAGGCACGCUGAUAUGUAGGUGAAGCGACUUGCUCGUGGAGCUGAAAUCAGUCGAAGAUACCAGCUGGCUGCAACUGUUUAUUAAAAACACAGCACUGUGCAAACACGAAAGUGGACGUAUACGGUGUGACGCCUGCCCGGUGCCGGAAGGUUAAUUGAUGGGGUUAGCGGUAACGCGAAGCUCUUGAUCGAAGCCCCGGUAAACGGCGGCCGUAACUAUAACGGUCCUAAGGUAGCGAAAUUCCUUGUCGGGUAAGUUCCGACCUGCACGAAUGGCGUAAUGAUGGCCAGGCUGUCUCCACCCGAGACUCAGUGAAAUUGAACUCGCUGUGAAGAUGCAGUGUACCCGCGGCAAGACGGAAAGACCCCGUGAACCUUUACUAUAGCUUGACACUGAACAUUGAGCCUUGAUGUGUAGGAUAGGUGGGAGGCUUUGAAGUGUGGACGCCAGUCUGCAUGGAGCCGACCUUGAAAUACCACCCUUUAAUGUUUGAUGUUCUAACGUUGGCCCGUAAUCCGGGUUGCGGACAGUGUCUGGUGGGUAGUUUGACUGGGGCGGUCUCCUCCUAAAGAGUAACGGAGGAGCACGAAGGUUGGCUAAUCCUGGUCGGACAUCAGGAGGUUAGUGCAAUGGCAUAAGCCAGCUUGACUGCGAGCGUGACGGCGCGAGCAGGUGCGAAAGCAGGUCAUAGUGAUCCGGUGGUUCUGAAUGGAAGGGCCAUCGCUCAACGGAUAAAAGGUACUCCGGGGAUAACAGGCUGAUACCGCCCAAGAGUUCAUAUCGACGGCGGUGUUUGGCACCUCGAUGUCGGCUCAUCACAUCCUGGGGCUGAAGUAGGUCCCAAGGGUAUGGCUGUUCGCCAUUUAAAGUGGUACGCGAGCUGGGUUUAGAACGUCGUGAGACAGUUCGGUCCCUAUCUGCCGUGGGCGCUGGAGAACUGAGGGGGGCUGCUCCUAGUACGAGAGGACCGGAGUGGACGCAUCACUGGUGUUCGGGUUGUCAUGCCAAUGGCACUGCCCGGUAGCUAAAUGCGGAAGAGAUAAGUGCUGAAAGCAUCUAAGCACGAAACUUGCCCCGAGAUGAGUUCUCCCUGACUCCUUGAGGGUCCUGAAGGAACGUUGAAGACGACGACGUUGAUAGGCCGGGUGUGUAAGCGCAGCGAUGCGUUGAGCUAACCGGUACUAAUGAACCGUGAGGCUUAACCUU
rnacentral:rRNA from 1 species